rnacentral:rRNA from 1 species
GACGAACGCUGGCGGCGCGCCUAACACAUGCAAGUCGAACGGAGCUGAGAGAAGCUUGCUUUUCUUAGCUUAGUGGCGAACGGGUGAGUAACGCGUGAGUAACCUGCCCUGGAGUGGGGGACAACAGUUGGAAACGACUGCUAAUACCGCAUAAGCCCACGAUCCGGCAUCGGAUUGAGGGAAAAGGAUUUAUUCGCUUCAGGAUGGACUCGCGUCCAAUUAGCUAGUUGGUGAGGUAACGGCCCACCAAGGCGACGAUUGGUAGCCGGACUGAGAGGUUGAACGGCCACAUUGGGACUGAGACACGGCCCAGACUCCUACGGGAGGCAGCAGUGGGGGAUAUUGCACAAUGGGGGAAACCCUGAUGCAGCGACGCCGCGUGGAGGAAGAAGGUUUUCGGAUUGUAAAAUCCUGUCGUUAGGGACGAUAAUGACGGUACCUAACAAGAAAGCACCGGCUAACUACGUG